AUUGAACGCUGGCGGCAUGCCUUACACAUGCAAGUCGAACGGUAACAGGUCUUCGGAUGCUGACGAGUGGCGAACGGGUGAGUAAUACAUCGGAACGUGCCUAGUAGUGGGGGAUAACUACUCGAAAGAGUGGCUAAUACCACAUGAGAUCUACGGAUGAAAGCAGGGGAUCGCAAGACCUUGUGCUACUAGAGCGGCCGAUGGCAGAUUAGGUAGUUGGUGGGAUAAAAGCUUACCAAGCCGACGAUCUGUAGCUGGUCUGAGAGGACGAUCAGCCACACUGGGACUGAGACACGGCCCAGACUCCUACGGGAGGCAGCAGUGGGGAAUUUUGGACAAUGGGCGCAAGCCUGAUCCAGCAAUGCCGCGUGCAGGAUGAAGGCCUUCGGGUUGUAAACUGCUUCUGUACGGAACGAAAAGCCCUGGGUUAAUACCCUGGGGUCAUGACGGUACCGUAAGAAUAAGCACCGGCUAACUACGUGCCAGCAGCCGCCGUAACAC
rnacentral:rRNA from 1 species